UACGGAGGGGGCUAGCGUUGUUCGGAAUUACUGGGCGUAAAGCGCACGUAGGCGGCUUUGCAAGUCAGAGGUGAAAGCCCGGGGCUCAACCCCGGAAUAGCCUUUGAGACUGCAUCGCUAGAAUUGUGGAGAGGUAAGUGGAAUUCCGAGUGUAGAGGUGAAAUUCGUAGAUAUUCGGAAGAACACCAGUGGCGAAGGCGACUUACUGG
rnacentral:rRNA from 1 species